GACGAACGCUGGCGGCGUGCUUAACACAUGCAAGUCGAACGGAAAGGCCCUGCUUUUGUGGGGUGCUCGAGUGGCGAACGGGUGGGUAACACGUGAGUAACCUGCCCUUGACUUUGGGAUAACUUCAGGAAACUGGGGCUAAUACCGGAUAGGAGCUCCUGCUGCAUGGUGGGGGUUGGAAAGUUUCGGCGGUUGGGGAUGGACUCGCGGCUUAUCAGCUUGUUGGUGGGGUAGUGGCUUACCAAGGCUUUGACGGGUAGCCGGCCUGAGAGGGUGACCGGCCACAUGGGGACUGAGAUACGGCCCAGACUCCUACGGGAGGCAGCAGUGGGGAAUAUGGCACAAUGGGCGGAAGCCUGAUGCAGCAACGCCGCGUGCGGGAUGACGGCCUUCGGGUUGUAAACCGCUUUCGCCUGUGACGAAGCGUGAGUGACGGUAAUGGGUAAAGAAGCACCGGCUAACUACGU
rnacentral:rRNA from 1 species